rnacentral:rRNA from 1 species
ACGCUCGACACCUACGGGGAGGCAGCAGUAGGGAAUCUUCCGCAAUGGACGAAAGUCUGACGGAGCAACGCCGCGUGAACGAUGAAGGUUUUCGGAUCGUAAAGUUCUGUUGUUAGGGAAGAACAAACUUCGUUUGAAUAAGGCGGAGUCAUGACGGUACCUAACGAGAAAGCCACGGCUAACUACGUGCCAACAGCCGCGGUAAUCUGAGCGGGCUGGCAAGGC